UACGUAGGGUGCAAGCGUUGUCCGGAAUUAUUGGGCGUAAAGAGCUCGUAGGCGGUCUGUCGCGUCUGCUGUGAAAACUCAGGGCUUAACCCUGAGCUUGCAGUGGGUACGGGCAGACUAGAGUGCGGUAGGGGAGACUGGAAUUCCUGGUGUAGCGGUGAAAUGCGCAGAUAUCAGGAGGAAUACCGGUGGCGAAAGCGACUCCCUGGACGGCAACUGACGCUGAGGCACGAAAGCGUGGGGAGCAAACAGG
rnacentral:rRNA from 1 species